AAAGCAAAUAAGUGAUUAUGUUAAUAUUAGGAACCAAGAUAUCAACAUUAAUAAGAAAUACAAAUAAAAAAAUCCAAGAAAAAGUGAAAGCGUCAGUAUAAACUCAUGACUUCUUUGUCUUUCUAAAAAAAUACAUAUUUCCUAGCUUUGUCCACGAAAAAGCCUGAGAAGAAACGACAACCCAGUAGAAAUAAACAUACGUAGUCCUUAGAUUUGUAGUCUCUAAAUGCUAUCAUCUCCUUAAAAGGAAAUAAGGCCUUCUUGGGAGGGAAGUUGGGUUCUAGGUUUGGGGAAGGAAUUGUAUAAGGUGGGCCUGGGACAUUCUUCUGUGCCAGAAAACAAGAAGUUUAAUCAUAUUAACUUGUUAAAAUGAAAAAGGCCAUGUCGACCCAACAACUUGAAUCUACAGAGGUGUUAAUUUUAAUAUCAAACCAAAUAAUGAUUGCAAAAGACUAAAACACAUAACAUUUAUUUUAAAAUACCUGAGUUCCUAAUGAUACUCCAAAAAUAAAAACAAAUACAAAAAUUAGAGGCCACUAGGGGCAUGAACUCAUCAUUCUAAAAAUUAAUAAACAGGGAAGGAAACAGCAUUUAUCCUGCCUUUCCUUGACUGACUGUACUUAAAGGCAGCCAAGGUGCUGGAGCCGCUGCCCAAGAGUCCGGAUCUCACUGCCACGUGCCCGGACACCCGCUGGACACGCAUUCCCGAUUCCUUUUGUUUCCAAGUCCAAUAUGGAAACUCUCGAGGAUCAGCCGAUUCAUAAUCUUCUAAAGGAAGAAGAGAUUCCCCAGAAUAAGAUUACCGUUGUUGGGGUUGAUGCUGUUGGCACAGCUUUUGCCAUCAGUAUCUUAAUGAAGGACUUGGCAGGUGUACUUGCUCUUGUUGAUGUCAUGGAAGACAAAUUGAGGGGCGAGAUGAUGGAUCUCCAACAUGGCAGCCUUUUCCUUAGAACAUCAAAAGUUGUCUCUGGCAAAAACUAUAUGUAACUGCAAACUCCAAGUUGGUCAUUAUCACAGCUGAGGCACAUCAGCAAGAGGGAGAAAGCCGUUUUAAUUUGGUCCAGUGUAAUGUGAACUUCUUUAAAUUCAUCAUUCCUAAUGCUAUAAAAUACAGCCUGAACUGCAAGUUGCUUAUUGUUUCAAAUCCAGUGGAUAUCUUUGACCUAUUGUGGCUUGGAAUAUAAGUGGCUUUCCCAAAAACCGUGUUAUUGGAAGUGGCUGCAAUCUCGGCUCAGCCCAAUUCCGUUACCCAAUGCAGGAAAGGCUGGGAGUUCACCCAUUAAGCUGUCAUGGGUAGGGUCCUUGGGGAACAUGGAGAUUCUAGUGUGCCUGUAUGGAGCGGAGUGAAUGUUACUGGUGUCUCCCUCAAGACUCUGCACCCAGAUUUAGGGACUGAUAUAGAUAAGGAACAGUGGAAAGAGGUUCACAAGCAGGUGGCUGAGAGUGCUUACAAGGUGAUCAAACUCAAAGGCUACCCAUCGUGGGCCACUGAACUCUCUGUGGCAGAUUUGGCAGACAGUAUAAUGAAGAAUCUUGGGUGGGUGCACCCAAUUUCCACCAUGAUUAAGGGUCUCUAUGGAAUAAAUGAUGAUGUCUUCCUUAGUGUUCCUUGCAUCUUGGGACAGGACAGAAUCUCAGACCCUGUGAAGGUGACUCUGACUCCUAAGGGGCCGUUUGAAGAAGAGUGCAGUUCCACUUUGGGGGAUACAAAAAGAGCUGCAAUUUUAAAGUCUUCUGAUGGCAUACCAUUUCACUGUCUAGGCUACAACAGGAUUUUAGUUGGACGUUGUGCAUAUUGUCCUUUUUAUCUGAUCUGUGAUUAAAGCAGUAAUGUUAAGAUGGACUGGGAAAAACGUCAGUUCCUAAAGUUAGAAAUAGGAAUGGUUUGUAAAAUCCUACAGCUAUAUUCUGUAGGUACUAUAUCCUGUGGGUAGCUAUAUCCUAUAGUACCAUCCUGUAGGCUGGAUGAUACUAAUCUUGUGU